rnacentral:rRNA from 1 species
CACGUAGGGCGCAAGCGUUGUUCGGAAUUACUGGGCGUAAAGGGCUCGUAGGCGGCCAACUAAGUCCGACGUGAAAUCCCAAAGCUUAACUUUGGAACUGCGUCGGAUACUGGAUGGCUUGAAUUCGGGAGAGGGAUGCAGAAUUCCAGGUGUAGCGGUGAAAUGCGUAGAUAUCUGGAGGAAUACCGGUGGCGAAGGCGGCAUCCUGGACCGACAUUGACGCUGAGGAGCGAAAGCUAGGGGAGCAAACGGG